rnacentral:rRNA from 1 species
AGUGUUCUUCGGAAUGACUGGGCGUAAAGGGCUCGUAGGCGGUGAAUCGGGUUGAAAGUGAAAGUCGCCAAAAACUGGCGGAAUGCUCUCGAAACCAAUUCACUUGGGUGAGACAGAGGAGAGUGGAAUUUCGUGUGUAGGGGUGAAAUCCGCAAAUCUACGAAGGAAGGCCAAAAGCGAAGGCAGCUCUCUGGGUCCCUACCGACGCUGGGGUGCGAAAGCAUGGGGAGCGAACAGG